rnacentral:rRNA from 1 species
GACGAACGCUGGCGGCGUGCUUAACACAUGCAAGUCGAACGGAAAGGCCCUGCUUUUGUGGGGUGCUCGAGUGGCGAACGGGUGAGUAACACGUGAGUAACCUGCCCUUGACUUUGGGAUAACUUCAGGAAACUGGGGCUAAUACCGGAUAGGAGCCCCUGCUGCAUGGAGGGGGUUGGAAAGUUUCGGCGGUAGGGGAUGGACUCGCGGCUUAUCAGCUUGUUGGUGGGGUAGUGGCUUACCAAGGCUUUGACGGGUAGCCGGCCUGAGAGGGUGACCGGCCACCUUGGGACUGCGAUACGGCCCAGACUCCUACGGGAGGCAGCAGUCGGGAAUAUUGCACAAUGGGCGGAAGCCUGAUGCAGCAACGCCGCGUGCGGGAUGACGGCCUUCGGGUUGUAAACCGCUUUCGCCUGUGACGAAGCGUGAGUGACGGUAAUGGGUAAAGAAGCACCGGCUAACUACGUG